GCUGCCGCUGCUUUGGCUGCUGCGUCAUACGCCCCAGAGCCGCCGGGACGGAGGGGCUGGGCCUGGGGACCCCCCGGCCUCCGCCUGCACGCCCCCCCACGCCCGGACGUGCCCUCUCCGCGCGGGGGACUCGCCUAGGUCUCCUACGUCUGCCCCUGCCCGGCUCCCGGCGGCCCCAGCUGUCACCG
rnacentral:misc_RNA from 1 species